ensembl:lncRNA
CAUGAAACUAAACAAAUCAUGUAUUUGAUGCUCAUUCACCGGAUGGAGCUUGACUGCUCCCUGGUGGUAGAACGAGGUCACGCUGACACACGCGAUACACACACGCGGAGUGAUGGCGGCAUGCCAUCAAUUAAACAAAUGAAACAUAAUGAGAAACAGACGAGAGGGAGAGAUCAGCCAGAGUGCCCACACCAUCAGGAUAUAGCAGGAAGCCACUCCGGCGAUUAGAAGAAACAUUCUUGAGACCUUCAAAGCUUUCAUACGUGUCACUCUUGAAACAUAACCCAUUGGCCGACCGGCCGACAGGAAGACGGAGGAAGGAGACGUGGAGCUUCAUCCCAGCGCAGCCUGCAUGGCGAGGAGAGACCAGGGGCCACAACCACCUGACCUCCCAUUACCCAGAGGCCCUACUGGGGUCUCUCCCUCCUGCUCCUCUCUCAGACCAGAGCAGAAGAUGAGUGAGUCGGUACCACCAGCGCAGCAGCGGACUACAGAGGGGCUACACUGACACGCCGUGCCCAUCAGCCCGUGGGCACUGCGGCAUGAAUGUAACAGCUGGACUCGUGCGAUAACUAAGAGCAGCACUGAGGAGGAGGAGGAGGAGGAGGAGGAAGAGGACAAUAGGCUGCGUCCAGUCCUGUCCAUCCAGCCGGUGGGUGGAUACAGCAGCCAGCCCCCCCGUCCCCUCACCACCACCACCCCCCACCACCACCCCACCACCAC